GGGAGCAGGAGAGGGAAGAGGCCACGCUGAGGCUGCACUUGCCUGUUCCUUCCCUGGGGAUGCUGCUGACUGGACCCACCUCAGCACUGUGUGGGGUGUCUCUGCCUGGCCUUGUGCUCCUCAUGCAUAGAGGUGAAAAGGGACAGGGCCCUGGGAUGUUCCCUGGGUAUGGACAGGAGCUGCCACAGCUGAAGCUGGAGAGGCCUGAGAAAGGGGAUGAAGAAGAAAAUGAAGGCCAUCUGGGCAGCACCCACCUCGCACUGCAGGGAGAGAGCGCCUGCCUCUCUGGGUGAGGAAGAAUCCGUCGUCAGAGGCCACAGCGGGCCAGAGCACCAACAUGCCCCAGGGUCUGUGUGCGUCACCCCAGGCGCGGUCCGGCCGCGCAGUGCACAAGCGAGCGAGGCUGCGUGAACAGGGAGCUGCAUCUUGUGAGAGCUGAGAGACCCCCGCGUAUUCUUUGAGGGGGAGGGCUGGAGCUACGGAAGAGGAAGGGGGGAGAGAAGGAGAAAGAAGGGUCUGAAGUGGCAAGUUUUCCUGGCAGCACUGAGAGCGACGGCCGCCGUGAGUCGCGGACCCUCAGGGCCGUGUUGCCCCUCUUGUGCAUUUUGGGCUCUUCCCUGGC